rnacentral:rRNA from 1 species
GUGCCAGCAGCCGCGGUAAUACGUAGGUGGCAAGCGUUGUCCAGGAAUUAUUGGGGCGUAAAGCGCGCGCAGGCGGUCUCUUAAGUCUGAUGUGAAAGCCCACGGCUCAACCGUGGAGGGUCAUUGGAAACUGGGGGACUUGAGUGCAGAAGAGGAAAGUGGAAUUCCACGUGUAGCGGUGAAAUGCGUAGAUAUGUGGAGGAACACCAGUGGCGAAGGCGACUUUCUGGUCUGUAACUGACGCUGAGGCGCGAAAGCGUGGGGAGCAAACAGAGAUAUAGAUACCCUGGUAGUCC